rnacentral:rRNA from 1 species
GACGAACCGUGCAAACGUUGCUCGGAAUCACUGGGCGUAAAGGGUGCGUAGGCGGGUCUUUUAAGUCAGGGGUGAAAUCCUGGAGCUCAACUCCAGAACUGCCUUUGAUACUGAAGAUCUUGAGUUCGGGAGAGGUGAGUGGAACUGCGAGUGUAGAGGUGAAAUUCGUAGAUAUUCGGAAGAACACCAGUGGCGAAGGCGGCUCACUGGCCCGAUACUGACGCUGAGGCACGAAAGCGUGGGGAGCAAACAGG